rnacentral:rRNA from 1 species
GAUCAUGGCUCAGAUUGAACGCUGGCGGAAUGCUUUACACAUGCAAGUCGAACGGUAGAGGGGCAACCCUUGAGAGUGGCGAACGGGUGAGUAAUAUAUCGGAACGUGCCCAGUCGUGGGGAUAACGUAGCGAAAGUUACGCUAAUACCGCAUACGAUCUACGGAUGAAAGCGGGGGAUCGCAAGACCUCGCGCGAAUGGAGCGGCCGAUGGCAGAUUAGGUAGUUGGUGGGGUAAAGGCUCACCAAGCCUGCGAUCUGUAGCUGGUCUGAGAGGUCAAUCCCCCACACUGGCACUGAGAUACGGGCCAGACUCCUACGGGAGGCAGCAGUAGGGAAUAUUGGGCAAUGGGCGCAAGCCUGACCCAGCCAUGCCGCGUGCAGGAAGAAGGCGUUAUGCGUUGUAAACUGCUUUUAUACAGGAAGAAACGACCCUUGCGAGGGGCAUUGACGGUACUGUAUGAAUAAGCACCGGCUAACUCCGUG